rnacentral:lncRNA from 1 species
CCCCCCCCCCAUUAGUUAGCUACAGUAAUGUGCAUCUAUCCCCCCCUUUAGUUAACAGUAAUUGGAUACAUUAUGAGGAUUUUAUUUUAUUGCCAAUCAAAUAUUUUCUGGACUAGAGCAUUAUUUUAGGGCUGAAGUAAUCCCACCUGGACUAGAGGCAUUAUUUUAGGGCUUGAAGUAAAACCUGUCGACCAGCCUGUCUGGGACUAAAGGCCUUAAUCCAGAACUAAUUCAUCAUAGGAAAUCAUCAAACAGUCCAAACACUUCUACAGGUUUUUAAUUCAUCGACAGCUAAAGACAAAACACUUAGGAAAAAAAUAAAUACAUACGAUAUGACAAAUGGGGCUCUCCAAUACAGUACAAUGUUAACUAUGUAGCAGUUAAAGUCAGGUGGUCCGUGCAAAGCCCAUGCUAGAGCCAUAUAACAAAUGGCUUUUACAUAGUCAUGAUAUGAUAUAUUAUAUAUAUAAUAUACUCUAUAUAUAGCUAAUACAGUCCUGCAUAUUGUUCCAACCAGGCUGGAUGAGUCCUGCUAUUGUCCAACAGGCUGGUGGAAUCCUGCUUGUCCAACCAGGCUGGAUGAGUCCUGCUAUUGUCCAACCAGGUGGAUGGAAUCCGCUAUUGUCCACCAGCUGGAUGGAAUCCUGCUAUUGUCCAACCAGGCUGGAUGGAGUCCUGCUAUUGUCCAACCAGGCUGGAUGGAGUCCUGCUAUUGUCCAACCAGGCUGAUGGAAUCCUGCUAUUGUCCAAACCCAGCUGGAUGGAAUCCUGCUAUUGUUCCAACCAGCUGGAUGGAAUCC